GAAUCUUCCGCAAUGGACGAAAGUCUGACGGAGCAACGCCGCGUGAGUGAAGAAGGUUUUCGGAUCGUAAAACUCUGUUGUUAGAGAAGAACAAGGAUGAGAGUAACUGCUCGUCCCUUGACGGUAUCUAACCAGAAAGCCAUGGCUAACUACGUGCCAGCAGCCGCGGUAAUACGUAGAUGGCAAGCGUUGUCCGGAUUUAUUGGGCGUAAAGCGAGCGCAGGCGGUUCUUUAAGUCUGAUGUGAAAGCCCCUGGCUCAACCAGGGAGGGUCAUUGGAAACUGGAGAACUUGAGUGCAGAAGAGGAAAGUGGAAUUCCAUGUGUAGCGGUGAAAUGCGUAGAUAUAUGGAGGAACACCAGUGGCGAAGGCGACUUUCUGGUCUGUAACUGACGCUGAGGCUCGAAAGCAUGGGGAGCAAACA
rnacentral:rRNA from 1 species